rnacentral:rRNA from 1 species
CCUACGGGUGGCAGCAGUGGGGAAUAUUGGGCAAUGGGCGCAAGCCUGACCCAGCAACGCCGCGUGAAGGAAGAAGGCUUUCGGGUUGUAAACUUCUUUUGUCAGGGACGAAGCAAGUGACGGUACCUGACGACUAAGCCACGGCUAACUACGUGCCAGCAGCCGCGGUACUACGUAGGUGGCAAGCGUUAUCCGGAUUUAUUGGGUGUAAAGGGCGUGUAGGCGGGAAUGCAAGUCAGAUGUGAAAACUAUGGGCUCAACCCAUAGCCUGCAUUUGAAACUGUAGGGCUGGAGUGCGGGAGAGGCAAUCGGAAUUCCGUGUGUAGCGGUGAAAUGCGUAGAUAUAAGGAGGAACACCAGUGGCGAAGGCGGAUUGCUGGACAGUAACUGACGCUGAGGCGCGAAAGCGUGGGGAGCAAACAGGAUUAGAUACCCUUGUAGUC